rnacentral:rRNA from 10 species
GAAGUCGGUGGGGUAACCUUUUUGGAGCCAGCCGCCUAAGGUGGGACAGAUGAUUGGGGUGAAGUCGUAACAAGGUAGCCGUAUCGGAAGGUGCGGCUGGAUCACCUCCUUUCUAUGGAGA